ACAUGUUGGAGGAAUUCCUACUGCUUAUAAAUUUUCGACCAAUAAUAUUGAUAAGUCAUUUUUGUUGCAUAAAGGUCCUCAAAGAGUUGAAUGCCAUUGAAGUGAAAUACUUGAAAUCUUGAAUGACUCUAACAGUUAUCCACAAAUAAUCCAGCUCUACGUUUCGCUAACAUACAACUUUUUGAAGAUGCUGGUGUCUGGCAGGUCAUUAGAGUUGGAGGUUGGAGCUAAAGUCGUUGGUUGCCGAUGUAGGGAUUGUAGGUGCUCCAAAUGCUAAGAAGAGCACUCUUUUGAGUGUUAUUAGUGCCGCCAAGCCAGCUAUAUAUAGCCAAUUAUCCUUUUACCACAUUAUUGCUACCAAACCUUGGUGUGGUUUCAUUAGAUUUUGAUGCUACAAUAGUAGUAGUUGCUGACCUUCCUGGCUUGCCGGAAGGCGCUCAUCCUGGUUAUGGUUUGGGUCAUGAGUUCCUAAGACAUAGUGAGCGAUGCUCUGCCUUUGGUGCAUGCAUGUCGUGAUGGGUCUGCACAACAACAAGAAUAUGAGUUUGAAUCAGUUCGCUUGGAGCUGGAGUUAUUUAGUCCAUCUUUGGUUGACAAACCCUAUGUUGUGGUGUUCAAUAAGAUGUACCUUCCUGAGGCAUCUGAAAGAUGGAAUACAUUUGGGGACAAGAUACAGUCUGAAGGUUGUAAGCACACACGAUGUCAUUCAUGUGCUUACAACCUUUUACAGCAAGAGAGGCAGAGGAUGAAGGAAGCUGAAGGAUGGAGCGGGACAGAAAAUGUGAACCAUGUGUCUGAUGCAAUAAAAAAGGAAAGACGUGCACCCAUGAAUGAGUUUGAGGUUUUCUAUGACAAGGGUACAAAUACAUGGAAUGUUGUUGAAGCUAGUAUGGAGCAUUUUGUUCAGAUGAUUUACUGUUAGUACUCGGAUUCCUUGAGAAGAUUUCAGCAAUUCCCUAGAGGCAUGUGGUGUCAACAUAGCUCUAGCAAACAGGUAGUUAAGGAGGGCGAUCAUUAAGGUGAGAAUUGGUGAGGUAUGUAUGCACAGUAGUCAGAGCACAAUGGAUCACUGAACUAGAAGAUCGAACCACAAAAGGCCAA